GUCUAAGGUGUACAUGUGAAAGACCCCCAGAGUGGGGAGACCCUCACUCAAGUCUCGGGAUAAGCCGAUGCCCCAAUAAUUCAAGAGAGACU
rnacentral:pre_miRNA from 11 species